GAUGGGGUCGCGGCAGGUGGACAGGGGUGGAUGGCGCACACAGCCGACCCCCUGCCGACCCUGCUGGGUGGCUCCCGCCUCCUUCCCUGGGUGCGGGGCACCUGGCACGGGGCUGCACCUGCUCGCCUUGGGGUGGGGGCUCCCCUCAGGCUGGACCCCAGAAGGCAGGUGGGGGCACGACCCGACACGUUGGAGGGUGCACCCCACAUUGUGCAGGAGCCCGCGGCUGCACCCCUGCUCUCCCCUCGGCUGUGCGGGAAGGAAGCGCCCUGGGGCGCCACCUCCUGGUGGCUUCUCUCCCCGCACCUGCUCACCUGAGCAACCUCGCCAGGCCAGCUCCCCGCUCCCUGACGAUCGUGCGCGAGUCCUCCGGACAGUCGGACAGUCGUGCCGUGCUGACCGUUCGCUCUGUGCCUGGGAGGAAAGCCUGCCUGUCGGGGCGUGCGGGGCGCCACAGCCCUCCUCUCACCUCCUCGCCAGGUGUUCACGCCGUGUGACCUGCCGUGACGCCGGCAGGAAGGCAGACCGACGGCACAGCUGGGACACUGUCCUGUCAGAUAAGGAGCCCUGGGUGCGGAUUCCUCACCACCGCACGUGUGAAGACGGAGCAGGGAGGAGCCCGGCCACCGAGCCAAGCGGGAGCGAGCAGACUCAGGAGGUUAAUUUUGAUACGAGUAAUGCUGGGUCUUACGCUUCCUACUAG
rnacentral:lncRNA from 1 species